rnacentral:sRNA from 1 species
AAGAGUUCUGGAGACUGAAGGUCUAUUUAUACACAGAACAGGUACAAUACAAUGGGAGCAAUAUGAGCUUCCCUAGACUGCCCUGCUAAUAUGUCUCAAUCCUGACCUAGAGGAAUGACCUCUAGGUGGUAAGAGGGGAUAAGAGUACCAGGUUCAAUGCCUGGUCUCU